rnacentral:rRNA from 1 species
GAUGAACGCUGGCGGCGUGCCUAAUACAUGCAAGUCGAGCGAAUGGAUUAAGAGCUUGCUCUUAUGAAGUUAGCGGCGGACGGGUGAGUAACACGUGGGUAACCUGCCCAUAAGACUGGGAUAACUCCGGGAAACCGGGGCUAAUACCGGAUAACAUUUUGAACCGCAUGGUUCGAAAUUGAAAGGCGGCUUCGGCUGUCACUUAUGGAUGGACCCGCGUCGCAUUAGCUAGUUGGUGAGGUAACGGCUCACCAAGGCAACGAUGCGUAGCCGACCUGAGAGGGUGAUCGGCCACACUGGGACUGAGACACGGCCCAGAAGCCUACGGGAGGCAGCAGUAGGGAAUCUUCCGCAAUGGACGAAAGUCUGACGGAGCAACGCCGCGUGAGUGAUGAAGGCUUUCGGGUCGUAAAACUCUGUUGUUAGGGAAGAACAAGUGCUAGUUGAAUAAGCUGGCACCUUGACGGUACCUAACCAGAGAGCCACGGCUAACUACGUGCCAGCCGCCGCGGUAA